UACAGAGGUGGCAAGCGUUGUUCGGAAUUACUGGGCGUAAAGGGCGCGUAGGCGGCCAUCUAAGUCAGACGUGAAAUCCCCCGGCUUAACCUGGGAACUGCGUCUGAUACUGGACGGCUUGAGUAUGGGAGAGGGAUGUAGAAUUCCAGGUGUAGCGGUGAAAUGCGUAGAUAUCUGGAGGAAUACCGGUGGCGAAGGCGGCAUCCUGGACCAUUACUGACGCUGAGGCGCGAAAAGCUAGGGGGAGCAAACGGGG
rnacentral:rRNA from 1 species